CUCUCCUAUCUGAUCUAGGAAGCUUAAGUCUAAGUCCAGAAACUGUGCAGCCAUCUUUUGAAGGCAGAUGUCCUAAUUGGUAUUGAAGGCAUCCUAACCGAAGAUAUAUUUCUUAUCCAAAAACUCAUCAGACGUGUGGAAGGCUUCCACGAUCGUGCAUCUGGCUUCAACAGCCUUCUUCUUCAUAUCGAUGGCUUUGGCU
rnacentral:lncRNA from 1 species